AAAGCGUUGUUGGAGACCAACUAUACCCUCCGGUCCCUAACAAUAAAUCUUUAUCGCCCACCCUCCUUCCGAUCCCUAACCCCUCCAGUCGCUCCCCAUCCUGAUCCCUAACCCCUCCAGUACCCCUCUCUCUCCUCCUCCUCCUCCCUAAUCCAAAUCCAACAAAUUCCUGGUCGACGUAGAGCCACCAGAGGCACGAGCGGAAGCUCUUGAGCUCGUCGCUGGCAUGGGAGAGGCACCGCGUGUACGACGCCUUCCGGGGAAGCAGAGGGACCGCAGCGGAAAGCCAUCCUCAAGGCCAUCUCCGGUGAGCCCCCCAACCUCGGGAAGAAAAGCUUCUUCUUCUUCUUCUUCAUCCUUCUCCUUUUGGGCUUAUAGUGAAGGCGAGAAUGGCGAGGAACGACUGGAUUAAUAGCUAUCUAGAGGCAAUCCUGGACGUGGGGCUGGUGAUCGACGCCUCCAAGUCGUCGUUGCUACUGAGGGAGAGGGGCAGCGGCGAUAUAUUUUUUCCCCUUCUUUUCAUCUGUUAUUCUCGAUUUUUGUUGGUUUUCUGGGUAGGCAGUGGCGAUGAGGAAUCCGUAGGAGAGGAAUGCGAGGCUCGAGAACAUGUGCUGGAGGAUUUGGAAUCUUGCCCGAAGAAGAAGCAGGUCUUUUAUUUUUGUUUUCUUCUUAGAUCAAAAAUAAUGUUGUUUUCUUCUUGGCUCCUAAGAUGCCCUAAGCUUGGCAUCCUGUUGUUUCUCUCUUAUUUUUCUUUCUUAAAUCUUUAGCUUCUUUUUUUUUUCUAUUUUCUUUAAUCUUUUUGGUUGUUGUCUCAAUCCUCGAGCUCUUGUACAGAUCUCCAAUCUCCAUUUUAAUGAGAAGAAAUUCACUGAAUGAAUUAUAACGA